GGGCGUGUUCCGGAGUGGCCAAACGGGACAGACUGUAAAUCUGUUGGCGGAAGCCUACGGGGGUUCGAAUCCCUCCGCGCCCA
rnacentral:tRNA from 1 species